CCUGAGUCUUAUCCAGUGCUCGAGCUGCAUAAACAAUCCCAAAACCAAUACCUAACUAACGGUCUCUGCGAAACUGAAAAUGGUGAGUUUGAUUUUGAUGGCUUCUUCUCUCUCAAAUCCUUCAUUUUAUUAUCACCAUCACUCCUUAAGAAUUAGAGCAUCUUCUGCUGCGCCUCGUGUUGAUCUCAACACUCUUCAAUCUGCUAUCUCUAAGGUUUCUGUUUCUGUUUCUUCCCUUCUCUUCUCUUGUAUGUAAAUUUCUUUAUGUGCUUACCAAAAUUCAACAAAGGCAGACCAUCUAUUCAUUCAGUUGUAGUAUUCUUCAUACAUUGCAAGACUAUUUUCUUCUAAAUGGGUUUUGGUUAGAGAUGAAAAAGGUGCGAGUGUGAAGGGAUUUGAGUUGAUUGAUUGCAAUUAAGGGCAUAGAAUUGGUUUAAGAUGUGGAUUACUGGCGCAAUCACCGAAGCUAAUUAAGUUAGUAUUAAAUUUCUAUUCGGUGUGCUUCUUGUCAAUACCGAUUACUUGUGAGCAUUUGGUAAUUAAGGAGUGUACAUUUAGAAGAACAUGCCCACAAAAUUCUGAUGAAAAAAAUUAUGGAUUAUCAUAGAUUUCAAGAAGCUAAGUUUUAUAGGAUUGUGUUACCAACUGUUGUAUGAGAGUGAAUGUUGCACAGAGUGCGGUAGAAAUGCAGAUGUUAAGAGGAAUGUCCAGUGAGAAUAUAAUGGAUAAGAUUAGGACUGAUCACGUCUGUCAAAGAAUGCAUGUAGUACAUGUUAGAGAUAAAAUGAGAGAAAGCAGUUUAAGAUGGCCAGUCCUUACAACACAAAGAAUCAAAUAAUCUGCUACAAAAGUGUGAUAAGUUACAAGGGGAAAGAGUGAGAAAAGGAAGGGGAGGCCUAAGAUGAAGCGGAGGAAAAUAAUAUCAUAGGAUUUACUCGUUUGGGAUAUUAAGGCAAAUCUAGUGUCUAAUAGAGCUGAAUAACUAACCCCAAACAUGACCGAUCAAUAGAAAUACUCCAAUACUCCACCUUUGUCAUAUAUUUUAUACAUAACACUAGAUAGAUAUCAUAUUCGUGGAAUACGAUUCACUUUCAAGAUAUCACAUUAG
rnacentral:misc_RNA from 1 species